AGUGAACGCUGGCGGUAGGCCUAACACAUGCAAGUCGAACGGCAGCACAGUAAGAGCUUGCUCUUACGGGUGGCGAGUGGCGGACGGGUGAGGAAUACAUCGGAAUCUACUUUUUCGUGGGGGAUAACGUAGGGAAACUUACGCUAAUACCGCAUACGACCCACGGGUGAAAGCAGGGGCUCUUCGGACCUUGCGCGAUUGAAUGAGCCGAUGUCGGAUUAGCUAGUUGGCGGGGUAAAGGCCCACCAAGGCGACGAUCCGUAGCUGGUCUGAGAGGAUGGUCAGCCACACUGGAACUGAGACACGGUCCAGACUCCUACGGGAGGCAGCAGUGGGGAAUAUUGGACAAUGGGCGCAAGCCUGAUCCAGCCAUACCGCGUGGGUGAAGAAGGCCUUCGGGUUGUAAAGCCCUUUUGUUGGGAAAGAAAAGCAGCAGGUUAAUACCCCGCUGUCCUGACGGUACCCAAAGAAUAAGCACCGGCUAACUUCGUG
rnacentral:rRNA from 1 species